rnacentral:rRNA from 1 species
CCUACGGGGGGCAGCAGUGGGGAAUAUUGCACAAUGGGCGCAAGCCUGAUGCAGCCAUGCCGCGUGUGUGAAGAAGGCCUUCGGGUUGUAAAGCACUUUCAGCGGGGAGGAAGGCGGUGAGGUUAAUAACCUCAUCGAUUGACGUUACCCGCAGAAGAAGCACCGGCUAACUCCGUGCCAGCAGCCGCGGUAAUACGGAGGGUGCAAGCGUUAAUCGGAAUUACUGGGCGUAAAGCGCACGCAGGCGGUCUGUCAAGUCGGAUGUGAAAUCCCCGGGCUCAACCUGGGAACUGCAUUCGAAACUGGCAGGCUAGAGUCUUGUAGAGGGGGGUAGAAUUCCAGGUGUAGCGGUGAAAUGCGUAGAGAUCUGGAGGAAUACCGGUGGCGAAGGCGGCCCCCUGGACAAAGACUGACGCUCAGGUGCGAAAGUGUGGGGAGCAAACAGGAUUAGAUACCCGAGUAGUC